GGCCUCUCAGAAUCACACCUGGAGAGUUUCCAGUACUCUACCAGUCUCAGCUACGGGAGGGAGAGUCAAGCAGAAGCCUUACCCAUUCCAUUCCUAGCUUGGCCAGUGGCUAGUGAGCGGAAGGCCAUCUGCUACAAGG
rnacentral:snoRNA from 2 species